rnacentral:misc_RNA from 1 species
AUCGGCUGUCCCACCUGGGAG